rnacentral:rRNA from 1 species
GACGAACCGUGCGAACGUUGUUCGGAAUCACUGGGCUUAAAGGGCGCGUAGGCGGAUUGCCGCGUCCGGGGUGAAAUCCUCCGGCUCAACCGGAAAACGGCCUCGGAUACGGGCGGUCUCGAGGGAGGUAGGGGCAUCGGGAACUGUGAGUGGAGCGGUGAAAUGCGUUGAUAUUCACAGGAACUCCGGUGGCGAAGGCGCGGUGCUGGACCUCAUCUGACGCUGAGGCGCGAAAGCCAGGGGAGCGAACGGG